AUGAUGAAUGCCUCCUGCGUCUUCUCCGGCGAGGCUGAGGGCGAGACCGGCGACAAGAGCUCCGGCACGGCGGACCAAAAAAAUGCAUCCGGCGAGGGGAAUGGCGUGGCCGCCUACAAGUUCUCCAUCCUGCCGGAGUAUCCGCGCGUGGCGCGUCUUCGUCAGCGGCGCCUCAUGGGCUACCUCUGGUGCCAAGGCUUCGACGACUCCUACAACGAGUACAGAGACGCGUUCAUGAACAAGACGCGCGCGUACAUGGACCUGCCGCACCUGCGCGGCCUCGUUGAGGCCGGCCGGUGGGCCGACGCCGUCGAGUACGUAGACAGGUUCCUGCCGCCGGCCACCACCUGUCACAAGAGCUUUUACGCCGUUGUCUUCCGUCACUUCCUUAAGAUGCUCCACGGGUUCGCCGACGCCGCCGCCGGCAAAGGGGAGAAGUUGCUGCCCAAGCACUACCUCCAACUGAACCACAAAAGAGCCGUCAGCCACGCCGAACUGAGGCUCCGCUCCAUCUGCAUGUCCGUAAUCGACCGUUUCAGGGCCAACAUGAACUGGCAGAGAAUGCAGAUAAAGGCAUCGUCUCUUGUCUACACGCUGGCUCGUCGCGUUCCAGAGCUGCGAGGCUGCUUCUCGCUGCCGACCACCGGCUUCAACCCGUGCCAUGUACUUCCCAAUUCCCAUUGCUUCCGGAGGCGUUAUGUGAAGCAGAAAAAUACAGGAUCAGAAAAACAAAAAGCUGUAAUCAGGGCCUUGAAGAGACGUCAUAUGAGUUCAAAAAUUGAGUCGGCUGACGAAGCAAAGGAAUUGCUGGCGGAUCUCCUUGAUGAAACUGUACGAUCUGGCUUUCAAACGUUAUCCUCUGUUCCGAGCCAUCCACUUGAAAAUGAAGGUGCUCAAUUCCUCCAACCCAUCCCAGGCACCUUCACAGAAGCUAAAACUUCUUGGCCAUCGACAAAUGCAGGCAUGAGUAAGCAUGAGGGCGAAGCAGGUUGUCACAGCAUCACUGCUCGCCAGGAUUCAGAUGGGAGAAAGAAUUCAAGGGAUGAACUUGCAACGGCUGAGCAAGACCGUGAUUCAAAACGGCAACGGUCAAAUGGGGCGCCUGGUGAAGCAACUCUGGUGAUGCCAGGGUAUUGUGCUGUGGAGAACUUGAGCGCCAAGCCAAGUGGUGGAGAGACGGCCGCUCCAUGA
rnacentral:rRNA from 1 species